rnacentral:rRNA from 1 species
UUGGAGGGCAAGUCUGGUGCCAGCAGCCGCGGUAAUUCCAGCUCCAAUAGCGUAUAUUAAAGUUGUUGCAGUUAAAAAGCUCGUAGUUGAAUUUCGGGGUUCUACCGUUGGUCGGGCUUUGUCUGUAUUGGUGUGUAGAAUUUCUACCUUCUGGGGAACCAUCAUGCUAUUAAUUUAGCGUGGUGGGAAACCAGGACCUUUACCUUGAAAAAAUUAGUGUGUUCAAAGCAGGCUUAUGUCUGAAUACAUUAGCGUGGAAUAAUAGAAUAGGACGGUGGUCCUGUUUUGUUGGUUUCUGAAUCACCGUAAUGAUUAAUAGGGAUAGUUGGGGGCAUUAGUAUUCAAUUGUCAGAGGUGAAAUUCUUGGAUUUAUUGAAGACUAACUUCUGCGAAAGCAUUUGCCAAGGAUGUUUUCAUUAAUCAAGAACGAAAGUUAGGGGAUCGAAGACGAUCAGAUACCAUCGUAGUCUUAACCAUAAACUAUGCCGACUAGGGAUCGGACGAUGUUAAUUUUUCUUGACUCGUUCGGCGCCUUACGGGAAAC